UGGGAAUGUGCCCAGAACAAAUCGCUGGGCUACACCUGCCAACCUUCUGGCCAUCGAGACUUUACUUUCAUCGUUGAUAUUAUAUAUUUUUGAUUAUUGUUAUGAGUAUUCAUAUUAGUCUUUAUAUUUGAACACCCAUCGGACAGGGAAAACUACAAUGGCAUUCCUCUCCGGGCUCGGAAUAACUUAUUUUUCUCCUGGUCUCUUUAGGAUGACCCGCGCUGUCUUGUUCAUCCUGGUGAUCUUUGUGUGUCUUGCACCGAUACUGGAGUUCAACAGCACACAGGCACUCUACAACAAGGAUCGUUCACUGAAGGAUGAGCUCUACCAGACACUGAAGGAGUUUACAACUGAAAUACGCCUCCAUUAUGUUGUUUUCGAGGAGGUGUUCACGAUUUGGAUGACAUAAAGAAGAAGAUUCAAGCUUUGGAAUUGAAGGCCAAUUCCCUGAAGGAUUACUGCAAUACUAAGAAGGAGGCCAUCUUUAAAAUGUUGGAAAAGGACGAUCAGUCCCUUGACGCUGCAUUGGCCAAAGCAGAAAAACGCAAGGGGCCCGUGUUUGCAGCAAUAAAGGACAAACUUGAGAUGGCGAAGGAGUCGAACUCUGAACGAAAAGCUCAAUUGCAGCACUUCACUCAUGUCUGUGACCUCAGUUGUGAGCACAUCCAGAAGGAAAUCAUGAGACUCAAAGACUUAGUCAAUGAACCCGAG
ensembl:lncRNA